CUUGCAACUUACUAUUAAAAAAUAUAAAGGAAAAGGAAAAUGUGGCAAGGAAUAUCAUGCCCUUUGAUAUUAGUGAUCUUUCAGUUUAACCUCUGCCAGAUUGUCUUUCGUUAUUUUCUCCUCGAGAUCGAUCCAUGCAUGCCUUGCUGCUUGGUUUCAGGACCCAGACUUGUUAAAAGCAAUAGAUUUGCCGCCCAUAAUUCUUCAGGUUUUACCAAAACCUUUUCAAGAUCAUUGGCCAUUGAAACUUUUUAAGCUUAUUUUUUGAAAGAGAAAAGAAGUGAGUGUGCUUGAUAAGUCGGUAGAGAUUGAGUGUUAAUGGGCGGGUAUUUUGAGAAUAAGGCAUGGAACCUCCAUACCUGAUUACAUCGUCUUCGAGUUGUGGAAUUUUUAAUUUAUUUGGUCCCCGAGCCAAUAAUCAAAAGUUGAGCAGAGCAGAGCAGGCGAAAGAUUGAAAAAUUAAUAUGCUCGGUCGAGACACACUAUACGACAAAUCUAUGGCGACUACUUAACGCCAAAUUUGCUUACGUCAAUACAGGGUAUCUCAGAGUUCUCUUCUCGGUACAUUGUACGAGUUUGUUCUUACUAUUAAUCUUUGACCUCUUUUACAGCUGGUAAUUCCCGUUACCAUGUAGCCACGAUGAGUGAAAAUUCUUCAAGUGCCAACGGUAAAUCUCACUUGUAAGUUUUUUUUCUCCUGGUAAAAAGUGGAAAAGAUAGUUGGGUUAUUCCCUCCUCUUGAUUGAAGAUUUUAUUUUAAAACAUGGUUAUUAAAUAUAAUGUAACUUGAUAAAUUGGCUUGGUAUCAUGUGAACUUAAAACAUAAUUUAAGCUAAGUUUUAUUUUAAAUGGGUUUGACAGUUGAUGUAAUUAGAUUAGCCGACUCAAUUCAUCCAGUCAAACUAGGGUGAUAUAUAAAUAAUUGAGUUUCAAGAAUAUUGUACUUAUAUGUAUUUUUUAAAAAGCUAUUUUUAUUUAAAAAAAAUUAAAAAAUAUUGUUUUGAUUGUUUUUAGAUAAAGUUAGGACUUUCAACCUCUAAAUGAUCAAGAGUUCACUUACCGCUAUUGCAAACUAGCGUUUAGUUUUCGAGAAGAUGUUGCAUCUGUAAUCCUAAUUAAUUUCAUUAGUUUUGUUACCAUAUAUAUGAACACUAUGGGAAUUAUUCAAUGCAAAUGUUUUAGGUUAUGUGUGUAAUUAAUUAAUUUGCGCACUCAUUUUGUAAAAUAAAAUAUUGACAAGAGUACGUAUCAAUCAAGUGCAGCCUAAUUAAGCUUUAGUUAAUUAAUUAUUUUUAUUGGUGUUAAGAGAAUUUUCUUAACUAUAAUAAGAUUUCUAUUUUAAUGAAAAUCCACUUGAUAGAGACCUAAAGGAAAAGCAAAUUUUAUCACAGAGAAAAAGCAAAGACUUGUAAUAAAGCAGUCCUACAAAUUCAAAUGCCUUUCCCCGUAUAUUUUCUCCCAGUAAAAGAAAAGGAGGGCGCCGAAAUUAAUUCUAUAGAGUAGAGAUAUUUUGAAAUCGAAAAUUAUUAUACAUGGAGUCUAAGCUCUCAAUUGAUAUUAUAGAUUUUAUAUAUAUAUCGCACCAAAUAAUAAAUUGGCAUUUGAAUCCAAAAAAACCUUAAUCUGGAACUGUCAAAAAUGAACCGAAACAAGGUGGAGCAGUGCUACGCGCCCGCGCUUGCAGUUUGAGUCGAGGGAUUGGUGGCGGUGCAUGCUCUUUAUGUGCUGCACUGACCAGCAAAAAAAGAAAAGAAAAGAAAAGACAGCAAAAACAUCGGGGUUUUGAGGGGUAAUUGAGGUUGUGACUUAUGGGUUUUGUCUAGGGAAGGCUUCAUGUUGAUGUUGGUUGGUUAUGGUGGUGUUUUCAAGUGAUUUUUAGGUUGAAGUUGGUGGCUUUCAGGUCUGGUUUUUUCUGGGCAAAAUUAGACUAGUUUGAGUUGAGGUUUUGGGUGGAUCAACACUGAUAAAAAGGAGACCAGAAUUGUGUUGAGGUCGGGUUGCUACUGUCGGUUUGAGAGGAUAAGAUUGAACAUUUAUGGGUUGAAAUGAGAUCGGUCAAGGGCUGUGACGGGUUGCUAUGGGUUGGUUUGUGAGGAAAUCAGGCUGUUGGGUUGGUUCGGUCAAGGGUUAUUGUUGGUGUGUCUCUAGUGACCGGUCGAAAAGUGAUGAGAGAAGGUGGCUAGGGUUUUGAUUUUUUUUUUUUGAGAGAGGGUGGAAGAUGAUGAAUAGUCCUUUAUCUCUCUCUGUUUUUUUUUGGUUUUUUCUUUUGUUUUUCUCUCUUAGUUCACUCUUUAUUACGUGUUAUUUCUCUGUAUUUUUUUUAUCUCUUCGAUUUUCUCAGUGUAUGCUUUUGCAAAAAUAUUUCGGACUACCUAUCUAUUAAUUUAUAGGUCCUUCAUAAGAUAUAUUUCAUUAUAUA